UAGCUAUGCUGUCUGAAUAUAAAGACAAUCAUGGCAAGUACUAUUUAUUAAUUCAAAUAUUAUUCCUUUAUUUAAAAUAUCAUAAUACUAAAAGUAUACUAUAUCGACGUUUUUUAAUAAAACUAAUAGAUUCAUUAGGUAAAUAAUUUAAGUUUUUUUUUUUGUUAUAUAUAUUUUCCAGAUUUAUCUAAAUAUUCACAUGGUGGCAAGUAUACUUUUUUUGCAGUACUAAAAAUGUUGUGUGCAUCUGCAUUAAUAAAUAAACUGAAAAACAACAGACAAAUAGUUUUAUUAUCAAAUUCUGUGAAAUAUAAAAACAACAUUAUAAGUUUAAUUUUAACACAGUUCAAUUCUUCAGGUGAUUUUGAAUAUGCCCCUGAUGGUAAGCAUCUGUUCUUAAACUUAUAUCUCGAGGUAUAUUCUUUGCAGUUUUUAAUAUGAUAUAGUUUAUUUUAACUGUGUAAACUCGUGCAGUUGUGUGGUAUACUAAGGUUCAUCUUAGUACUUACCGUAUUUAUCUUUACAAUACCUAUAUUAUAAUUUAUUGUUUAUAUAUUUUGAUAAUUUAGAGGAAGAAGUCGAGAAGGGCAAGUAUAACCAAUUUAAAAAAUCUAAAUAAAUUGAUUUUAAUGAACGCGUACAAUAUUUAAUAUUAUAAUUAAGUUUUAAGUUGCUUUUAUGCAUAAGAUAAUAAAAUGCACAAAGAGUAAAUGCCCAUAAAUUAACAAACAGUUAUUGAAUUAACUAUGUUGUGUAUAACAAAUAUACCAGAUACCUGUAUAUUAUUUAUGAUAAUACGUAUAUCUGCAUACAAUUUCGUUUAAUGAUAACAAUUUUUCUUUGCACUAUGGACUAAAAUCGGCGGAGUAUGAUUGCGUGCGUUGUAUACCUUUUGUGUAUACGAUUGCGCGUGGUACCGGCAUAACAAAAAACAUGGUUUCGACCCCUCAAUGGAGUACGAUUGCGCAUGAAAUUGGAUGCGGUAUUGCCGCUAAUAGUUACAUAGAUAGAUUAAAAUUCAUUAAAAAAUUUAUAUUAAAUUAUAUAUUUAUAUUAAAGCUCCGAUACCUAUUUCCCACUAUUGCCAAAUACUUAAGUAAAUUUUCUGACGUUUUAUUUUGUUCAUACUCUUCGUGUUUUUUUUUUUUGCUUUUAAAGUCAAUUUUCUGUAAUCCUUGCUUCGAUAUUGGCUUCACUAUUCCUUUGGAAACGGUUAAUAGUUUGGUUAAUGUUUUUGCCUGAGUCUCAAGAAGGAUAGUUAUAACAACAAAUGUCCGCGGAUGAGCACUGUUAAACUGUGAGGUAUAUGUACUUUGGAAACUUUCAACCCACAGCUAAAAUAUGAACACAAACACAAUUGACAGUAAAUACACAUGCACGAUUAUAGUUUAGAUAUAAUCGAACGAACCUAUAUGGGAAUUUACAAUAAAGAUAAUAAUAUUCUGAUCUAAUAUAAUAAAUGUAAUAUAAAAUUAUGAUCUAAAAUAUAACCAAUGGUUCUUAAUGUGGAAGUUUUUUUGGUAUCGGCAAUUUAUUUAUUUAUCGAAUGACCUGUAUUGAAUGCAAUAUGAUUAUAAUAUUAUACUAUGACUACUACUAGUUAACAGGAAAAUUAGAAUAAGCAAAUUAAUAAAUUCAUAAAACAAGUAUAAAAUAAAAUAUGGAAUAUAACAGAUAAAUAGAUAAAAUAGAUGAAUACAGAAAGGUAUCGUGGUUAUUUGGUAUUAGAUAUCGAUGCCUAAUGAAUCCAACCAUUCUAUUGUCUGUGUCCGUUGCUGCGUGUAACUCAGUUAAGGUUCCAUGAAAUUUCCUCUUUACGCACUCAUUUACUAUGUGUUCCAUCUUUUGUUUUUUUGCACCAAAGUCGCAUUUUGUGUCUGCCUUGAUUUUCCACUUGUGCAAUAAAUAGUUACACCGACUGGCCUGUGCGUAUGCGAUUCAGCCUGGUUCACAAUCUACAUGGAAGGUCCGACCCUGGUGAUUUACUAUAUAGUAUAUACAUUACCCACUAAGAUUCCGUUAGCGGGGAUAUCGCUUUUCCAUUCUUCCUCCCAUGGAUCUGGUUAAAGGUAUCUAAGAUCCUUUUUUAGUCUGAGGAUCGCAACAUAAUACCUGAUUAUAUUUCAAAUCCAGUUUUUGCUGGUUACGACAGCACGUCAAUAGUAAAUUCUUUUGCGUCAUAAUAAUUUGUAAUCAUUUUACUCCUAAUUAUACAUAUAAUCAUAGGCGUAAUUAGAGCCUAAAUAUUGGGGGUGCUAAAAUUGUAUAACGAAAAAUAACCUGUGGAGGCAAUGCUCCCACACCCCCAAACAGCAUUUAUCAAUUAUUUUUGAAUCAUAAUAACCAUUCUGAAAUGAAACAUAUCUGUUAUAUUUAUGCAUAGUUAAAACAUUUUAAAAUGUAAUAUUUAAUAAAAUAGUAGGUAAACGCAAUAGGUGAACACGGACACUUGACUGAGUAAUGAGUAUCGAGUACCUCGACAGUCACAAAAUAUUUUAAAUUAAUCUCAUGGUUGGGCCCAUAAAAGAUUUUAUUAAACUGAUGAAGGUAAUAAUAAUAUAAUAGUAAUAUAUUAUUAUCAGUUCGUCGCAGCACAUAUCUGUAAUGUAUAUAGCGCUUUUUGAUGAUGCCAUAGAUAAUUCAUAAUGGACAGGCAUAGAUAACACAUGUAUUAUCUAUGGUUGUGACCCAUUGCCUAAAAAUAGCUCUCAUGCAAACGGUUUCUCCGUUAUGAUAUUUGAUAAAAUAUAUCAUCACAUUCAUAGAUUAUAUUAUAUGUCAUUUGAACAAAAUAGUUCUAAAUAAAAAUUAAAAAUGUAUAAUUUACGGUAUUUCACUGUAAUUAUUAUAGCCGGACUUAAAAAAACAAGGGGUAUUAAAUUUGAACUCAGAAGUCCUUGAGAUUCUCUUGUGGCCCCCUAGUUGCGCCACUGCAUUUAAUCUGACGAACAAAUCCAAAUCUCCAUGUAAAAAGCUUAAAUGCUAGAGUCUCAUUAUAGGUACAGUGGUAGAAAACAAUCAAUAACGGAUUCAAUAACAAUCAAUAUCCUAAAGCUCAGUAUUAGUUCCCAAGUUAUUUACCUUUAUCUAUAUAUUUAUCGUCUAUUUCCUCGGUUUAACUAAUACAACUAUUUUUGUUUUAAAUUUAGUCACUGCGACGUAACACAUUAGUGUUUUGUAAUUAGUUGGUGGCACGUUAAAGUCAACCUCUCUGGAAUGGCUUCCGGUAUUCACAUAAAUUACACCUCCCUCUAUUAAAAGUGGGAAGUUCUGAUUUAAAUAAUCACGAAACGAAACAGAUUACUGGACAAUAUGUUAUCCCAGAUGCUAAGUAGUAUCCCAUCGAUGUGCCUUAAGACAAGAAACCCACGCUGUGUAACUGCUCAACACAUUAUACAAAUAAUUUUUAAUGCAAUGAAAGAAUAAAGUACCCCGUGGAAUAACACGGCAGAUAAAAAUAACAGUCUAUUUAGUAACCCCACUGAACCACUGGCAGGAUUAAUACUACUUUUAUACAAAUGGAUAAUUUUAAACUAGCUUAGAUGAGGUUACAGUAGAUGCAUGAAUUGCGUGCAAGGAUAGAAACUUUUAGACGGACCUGAAUACAAGAUUGUAGUGCCGAAAGCUAAACAGUGGUACAUAUUAUUGUACUAGAUUGCCCAAGAAGGAGAUUUCACGAAGAAAUGAUGAACAUUAUGGAGUUUAGCACAGAAGUUCUAGAAUUGAAAUAGAUUGUUAACAUAAUAAACUAAAUAAGUUCAAAACCACAUUAUAUUCAUAUACACUAAACUCGAAGCAGAACAUAGUCAUUUUCCUUUUGUAUUAUUUUCAUUUACCGUUUUGUAUUGUGCAUAACUGAUUUUUGAGUUUGACCAAAUAUUGAUUUAAAAUCUAUGACCGUUAUAAAUAAAAUGUUAGCAGUAUUUUUUUUUUUAAUUCGAUUCAUUUUAUAAAUUUGUCACCUAUCACUGUUUAUGUUCGCUAAUUUAUUUUUGAACUUAAUUUACAGUUGAAGAAAUUCUGUCUGGUAAGUAGACAUUAUUUGAACAGCUGAUACAGCGACAACCGAUAAUUGUUCCCUAAGUAUACAUACAACCUUUAAACUUACCUUUAAAUCAAAAUUACUUAAAACGCAAAAGUUCGUGAAAUGUAACAAAAAUGAAUUCCGGUUUCGAUUAAUUUUUUUUUUUUAAUUUUCUUAUUAAAAUGGAAUAGAUAUUUUAACUAUAAAAAAAAAAUAAAUAUUCAACAUUUCACAAUAGUAUUGAAUUUUUAUUUGAUAAAUAUGUAUUUAAAUAUUAAUUUUAGGGUAGCUAUCAACCAUAUCAAUUUUUGCAAUAAAAUAAUACAUAUAUACGACAUCAUUAUAAUAAUAGACUCCCGACUUCGAUUUAAUUGAAUAAAAUAUACUAAAAUAAGUUAAGUAUUCUUUUAGAAAUUGCAAUAUAGGAUACAAUCAACAAACUAUUUAAAAAACCAAACAUAUAAAACGAAAUUAGUAUAAUGAAUGUAAAACCCUGUAUUUAUUAUUCUAAAAUAUACUAGGUUCCAGUUUGCAAUAUUUUAGGAGUCUUCGGGUUCCAGGACUGGUUCUAUUCGGUUUGAAAAAAUUAGUCCGUUUUGGGUUAAUUUUUUUUAAAAUAUAUAAUUGCAUGUUUAAUUAGGUCGCUAUAGUCCAGUAUUUAUUUUUUAUCAAUCAUUGUUUAUGAUUCUAUUUUAAUCGCUUAUUUAUGGAAGGGAUUUAAUCUAAAAUUCACUUUCGGGAAAUUAAAAAUAACUGUUUUGCACGUAUAAUAUUUUACGUGUAGAAAAAUUAUAAAAAUUUAACCUAACCUAAUCCAACCCUGAAUUUGAAUUACAAUAAUAAUUUCUGAUAUAACAAUAUAUUAUAUUUUUCUAGAAAUAAAAUUAAUAUAAUUAAAUAUUUUUCAUUGUAGUUAUCGGAAAUUUAUGUUAUGAUAGGAAGAAAUAUUAAAUACAUUUUUAACGUUCCUACUUUCUUGGAAUAAAAAUNAUAUUUUUCAUUGUAGUUAUCGGAAAUUUAUGUUAUGUUAGGAAGAAAUACAUUUUUAACGUUCCUACUUUCUUGGAAUAAAAAUAACAAACUAAGUAUUCUGAAAACUAUCUAUUCUUUGUAAGACUGGUUGAAAAGUAUUGAUAUUACUUCGUAAUAACAAAAAAUAAAAUUCAAAUUAUCGUAAACUUUGUAAAAAAUUAUAGAAACUUAAUAAUUCAUCAUUAGUAAACAUUUGUAACACCAACAUUUUGUUUCAAAAUAUAUUUUAAAAUGGCCAUCUUGAAUUUUGUAAAAAUGUUUUUUAUUUUUAGUUAAAAAAAAAUAGACAAAUUAUACUCCUAAGACUCUGGUAAUUAAAACACUAAAAAAAAACCUAAAAGGAUUAAAGAGAACAAAAGUUAUUUUAAGUUUCAGAUAUUCGUACAAUAACCGGUACUCAUGUAUAUUAUGUACUUUAAUAUUCAUUUUAUAGUGAAAUUUUCAUUUUUUUUUUUCAAUUUUUAUUUACAAUAUUAUUAUGUUAUUUUAAAAUGCAAAAAUUAAAAUUGUUUACUAUACAGCUAAACGCGAAUCAUGUAAACUUUUUUUCUAUUAUCAACGCACAUUUCAAAAAUAUUGUACUUACCAAGUUUAAAUGUAUAAUAUCAAUAAUGCUAUUUGUUAUUGGCAAAUAACUAUUAUUUGUCAUAUUUUAUUACAUUAUUUUUACAAAUUAUUUGAUAGCAAUGCCUAAUAGUAUGUUGUUUUUUUUUUUUUAUAUUUGAAUAUGCUAUAUAAAAUUUGAAGAUAACAAAGUAAAAAUACACAAGAAAAGACACCGUAAGUAUUUUUUGUUUUUUUUUUUUUUUACUUAUACAAGCAAAUUAUUUUUACCCACAUAACACAACAUUUAAACGUUAUAAUAAUACUAGCUGUUCCGCGCUCGGCGUUACUCAUACCAAUUUUUCAUUAUUUUUCUUUUAUUUCCGUUUUGCUUUUCCUGUAUCAGUAUAUUGAACAAAACAAAAAAAUAGGUGGAAAGCGGGUCAGUGGCGAUCUAAUGUAUUUAUCUGUGUUACCAUAGAUACCCGCACAGUAAAGAGAUUGAACUAUAUAUUCACUAUAAAAACACUAAAAUUAUAAGGACUUAAUAGUAAUGUAGUUGAGUAGUGUUGUUACUCUACCGAAAAAUACGAAAAUUCAAAGCUAACGUUUUACGUGUUUUCACUUUUUACUUGCCGACCAAGUACAGUGCAUAGUUUUAGAUUCUGAGUGGAUUGAAGAAGCUUAUGGUUUUACUAAGAUGUUUAUAUUUUAUCUGUGCGCUACUUUUCUAGCGGAAGACUUGCUCCGAUUUUUAAGUGUAGCACCUUUUCUGAAAGGAAAUCGGUGUAGGGAGGUCAUAUUUUGAUUUUCCCAUGAGUUUUCCAGACAAAUGUGAAAAACCGGGAUAAAACAUGGGAAAAUCGGUACAACAUUAAACAAAUAUUAUUAAAAAAAGCAUAUUUAAUUAUUUUACUACAAUAUGGCAUAUAUAUUGUUGACAGAGCAUCACUAUCAACUGAACUCUGCUCAGAAUCAUUUUUUCGUAAGCAAUGGUUUAUCGUUGCUUACAAAUAUACAUUAAAUUCCCGUCUAUGUCUUUAUUCACUAGAUUUAUAGUUGUGUGUGGGUAAAAAGUAGGGAGCGUUUUUAGUGGCGUAGCGUUGUAUAGUCAGUGGUGUGACUGUGUAAGCACUAACCAAAAAUUAUUUAUCUACCUAUAUACCUUUAUCUAUUUUCAUUAACUUUAGAGAGCCACUCACAAUAUUUUGAUACAAAUAUUAUCAAAAAUGAUUUAAAUAAUUAAACGUAGAUCGUGAAAUAUGCUUAUAAUAUGUCUUCUCCUUAUACUAUUACACAAUUUUAAAAUGUAAUGCAUAAUUUUACAUUAUUAGAACUUGAUCGUUGCUUAAAUUGUUCAUUUGAAAAUAUACCUGACUUUGUAUAAUUGAAAGUGAAAACAAUGCUUGUAUGCACGGCACGCCACUUGGCGUUUUACAUGGGUUUAUUAUGCAAACAUUGUUUGAAAUAUUAUACACUCUCGUUCCCUUGCUAUUCUCUAUUUUACUUAACUCGGGCUACGGCCACGACCCUUAUACGAUUAUUAAAAAAUAUGGAUGAAAAAAAGAGUACACAUUGGUUUCUAUAUAAAUCCCAACUUAUAAGUCUACAAAUUCUUUUUUAAUGUAAAAGUAUAAUAUAUUUUAUUAUUAUAGUAUUUGCAUUUUAAUAUACUGUACGCUACAAAAUAUUGAAAAUUAUUAUUUAUGAUUUGUUUUUUUACAUAAUUCCGUCUUAAUUAUUUAAAUACAUAUGUGACGUUAUUUUAGAAAAUCAAUUGUUUUUAAAUGCUUAGAACUUGUAAGUUUGGAACGUUAAUUACUUAUCGACUUAUCAUACAGCAAAACAUAAUAUUUGUUGAUUCUUAGUCAAAUCCACAAGGCAUUGACAUUUUCGCAAAAUUAGGUGUUCUGAGCAAUUUUUACAGAGCCGUCACCACCUGUUCACCUCGUUGUAUCCAGUCUAUCUGCUUAGUCCAUAUUUUAUAUUAUUGUUUAAAAUAUUAAUAAAUAUAUACGACAAUGCCACAAUUUACAUUUAUCACACAUAAUAUUAAUCGUUUAUAUUUUCAGAUAUGUUGAAUAGAAUAGAAAGAUUAUUCCUACACAAUUCUAGUAUGUAUUUAAAAAUUAUAUUUUAUAAUAAAAAAAAUGUCUGCCAUAGAAUACAAUAGACAAAGCAUUUUUUCUUGGUCUCGUGCUUAAACAUCCCUAAAUGCGAAAUCGAUUCAAAAAUGAAUUGGUAUUUAGACCUCGCAAAAAAAUGUUGACCAGAGCCGUCCUUAAAGUAGAUACGAUAUGACUUCUGCGAUCGCGAAUGUGGUUGCAAUUAUAUCACUCCAUCAAUGUAAUCAAUGUUCUUGGUUUGGUUACAACGUAUGUGACUUACAUCGAUCACUGCAAUCCAGAUAUUGGUGACUACACGAGCAAUCAAAUAUAUAACAAUAUUAUAUUAUUACUCAUAUAAUAAUAAUAUAUUAUGAUAGUCACUGAUUCAGUACCAUUACAUUUCACAAUUUUAUUUGUUAAUUAAUUUUUAUGUUAAUUCACAGGCAAUGCAACUCCGCCGCCCGGUAAGUAAUAUUUACACAAGAUAUACAGUGAUAACCGAUAGAUACCAAUGUAUAGGUAUAUUAUAGAGUAUAAUACCUAAAUGAUAAAUACAUAUGUAAUGAUCAUAAUACGUUAUUUUAUUUUUAGAUUUUGAGUGUAACGAAGAAAGUAUUGGUUUUACUAAGAUGUUUAUUAUUUUUAUCCUGUGUACAAAAAUUCAACAUAAAUCUUGCUAAGAUAUAUACGCUCGGCACCAUUUCUGAAAAGGAAUGUUGUCCAGAUGGUACUUAUUGCAGGUCAUUUUUUUAUUUUCCAAGUGGUUUUCAUAAUAUCUGGGAAAACCAGGAUAAAACGUAAAAAAACGGGAAAUGUACGAAAUUAAUGCUUUUAUUAUUUUAUCAAUUUUGUUAUUUAUUGUAAUUAAUUUUAAAAUAUUCGUAGAGACUUGAAAUUCGGACAGAAAAUUUAUAUUUGCCUUUUCUAAACAUUGCAAAAUUUCAAAAUAAUUAGGCCAUUUUUGAGUUAUUUAUAGACAUUUAAAUUUUGCGAAUUUUGUACGUAAUGUUUAUUCGGUAGAUACACUGUGGUAAAAUUGUUAGACUUGAAAAACAGAAAUGUUNAUUUAAAUUUUGCGAAUUUUGUACGUAAUGUUUAUUCGGUAGAUAUUCUGUGGUAAAAUUGUUAGACUUGAAAAACAGAAAUUGUUAAACAGAAAUGUUUGAAAAUUUUACAGCAGGUUCAAGAAAUCUUACUUUUUGGUAAAAAAAUUAACGAAAUUGCUGGUAGAAAAGUUGUAGACAGGAAAAAAAAUAAAAAUCACUAUAAAACUAAUACAUUUAUCGCUCCGCUCAAAAAUUUAAAAAUAAAGGAAGCUUGUCGAUAUAAUUGAAAUUAAUUUAUAACAUAAAUCAUUAGUUUAUUUACCGUAUGUUUAUCAGCAAUUUGUAUAUUUAAUGUAACUUAUUCUUAAUAUUAACUAGUUUGUUCGGCGGACGAAGGCGGGGAAGCUACCGUAACUACAAGUAAAUAAAUUUUUAAAAACAAAUUUAAGUAGUUCAAACUCAAAAUCGUUUGUCCAAAAUGUAUAUUUCCAGAGUAUUCAACAUCCAUUUUAAUAUCUUUUUGUCGAAAAAACAAUGGGCAGAUACAAAUAAAAAAUGUAUUUAAACAUAAAACAUGAACAUUAGAUUAUGGUCAAUGACAAACCAAAACUAAAACUACAACUGUUUUAAAUCAUUUAAAUCCGUAUUUUUAAAAUAAUAUAUUUUAAAACUGAUCAUCUAGCUAAGUUUAUUUUCGUUAAUUAAUAUUUGAUAUUGGUAUUUAGGUUGUACAGAACAUGUUGAAAUCAGUAAGUAAUAUUUGUAUACAGCGAUAGCCAAAAAUUAUUUAGAUAAAUUUGAGUAUAAUACAUAACUAACGGUUGUGUAAUCGUAAUAACUUAACAAUAUUGAGUGAUCAAUCUAUCGUUAGACACUCGUUAUCACGGAAAGUAUUUACUUUUUUCAGAAUUUUUUUUCUAGAAUAUUUAAGAAGUAAGGUGCUCUACAAUCUUAUAUUUAUGUUAUUUUUUGUCAUUCUUAUUUUUGGGGGUAAAACCAUUUCCUACUUUUGAUUUUCAAAUGGCGACCUAUAUUAAAAAAUCUAUGAAUAGCCAGAAUAUUCAUCAAAAUAAAUUUCGGUGUUGAAAUGUUUGAUUUCCGACAAUCCGUUGACGAAAUAUUCCACUUUUAGGUUUGGGUUGGGGGAGAGUGGUGGUACAUUAUUAAUACGCCGCGCUCGGUACCACCACACAACUGAUACUCCGCUACCAAAUUAAUAAAAAAUCUGUUACAUAUGCACUACAAUAUUAUAAUUUUACAUAUUAUGUACCCACUGAUUUGGAUUAAUUAAGUCUCGGUAUUUUCUAUUUAUUUUUUUGCUCGGUUUUUUAAUGUAUAGAUGAUAGUGACGAAUGUAGCGAUUCAGGUAAGUACUUUUUAUUCAUGGUUUCUUAACUCUGUAACGGAAAGUAUAUAAAAUAAUAAUAAUAAACAACAAACACUUUUACUGUCUAAAAUGGAUUUAAAGAAAUAUCGAUACUAUGCUAUUUUCAGAAAAAGAACGCAUCAGGCGGCGGACAAAAAUCGGUCCGUGUGCGCGCAUGUCUUUACUAAUUAUCAAUAACCAAUCAUAGAAUGUCCGACGCUGUUUCAAAUUUCACGUUUAAACUUGCACCGUGAUCUAAACUUCCCCUUUAGUAGAUUUAUUGGUACACUGAGGAAAUAUUCCAAAGAGCUAUGAGUUCCGAAUACUGUUUAUAAUAAAGAUUGUAUAUUUAUUUGAGAUUAUGGAUACGUUUCACGAUGUAUUUUUUUAUAGAAAAAUACUUUUUCGGUUUAUUAAAAUAAACUUAAUUCACAUACAAUUUCAUUAGGCGUGAAAAAAAUUAAUAUUCAAUAAAAUAAGACGUUAUGUGAUAAGGAAAUACAAUCAGUACGGUAAUUCUUAACCUUCUAUUGAAUAUUAAUUGUUUUCACGCCUCUUUUCUAGAAAUUAAAACGGCUAUAAUUAAGAAACUAUUAAUCGAAUAUAAAUGUACUAUAGAUUAAAAUGUUGAGAAUAGUAUUUUUACAAAAUGGCUAUUUUGGAAAUUUUCUAUAUUGAAUAAAUAAAAAGUUAUUUUUUUUUAUGUUCAAGGAAUGAAAAUAAAAAUUAUAUUUUUCUCUAAAUCGAUGCACCCCUCAGAGAUGAAUUGAUUGAAAAAAAAUCUGAGUAUAGCAAAGAAGCUAUACGUUCAAUUAAUAUGUAGUUUAUUUCCCAAGGUUAUUAAUAAAAGUAAACGGAUGAACAUCUGUGACUUUUCUCCCUGAUAAAAUUUUAUUUCAAACAUUUUUUUUUAGAAUUCCUACUACUUUUCUCGAAAUAUUGAUUUCUAUUGCCUAUACAAUUAAUUAUGAGAAAAAAACUUACAGGCAGUUUAUAAUAUUCCAAAAUGUUAUAAACAUUUCCACAAUAGUAUUGUAUAAUUCAGAUAUUAUUUAAAUUUAGAUGAAAUAAUAAUCAAAUUAAUAAACAAUCUGUUAUACAUGCACACUACAAUAUUAUAAUUGUAUAUAUUAGGUACCCACCGAUUUGGAUUGACUAAAUCACAGUAUUUUUUAUUUAUUUUUUUUGUUUGGUAUUUUAAUGUAUAGAUGAAAGCUAUAAUAGCAAAUUUAGAGAAUCAGGUAA